AUUGAACGCUGGCGGCAGGCCUAACACAUGCAAGUCGGGCGAACGGCGGAAGGGUGAGUAAUGUAUGGGGAUCUGCCUGAUGGCGGGGGAUAACUACUGGAAACGGUCGCUAAUACCGCAUACCAUCAGAUGAACCCAUAUGGGAUUAGCUAGUAGGUAAGGUAACGGCUUACCUAGGCGACGAUCCCUAGCUGGUCUGAGCGGAUGAGUAGCCACACUGGGACUGAGACACGGCCCAGACUCCUACGGGAGGCAGCAGUGGGGAAUAUUGCACAAUGGGCGCAAGCCUGAUGCAGCCAUGCCGCGUGUAUGAAGAAGGCCUUCGGUUUGUAAAGUACUUUCAGUCGGGAGGCGUUACCGACAGAAGAAGCACCGGCUAACUCCGUGCCAGCAGCCGCGGUAAUAC
rnacentral:rRNA from 1 species